rnacentral:lncRNA from 1 species
CCAGUAUAGAUUAUUGUGUGCCAUAUGGGGUGGUUGUCCUCUUAACCAUGAAGUGUGGAGAUAUUAGUAUGGCAUAUAGGUGAGAUGUAGGAGUACAUCGUCACCGAAUAGUGACUUACCUAUGGAGCGCUCUGCUAUCAAGGACAACUCACAAAAGAUAUGGGCAUAAGUAUCCCUCCAACCUAAGAUCACCACAGUAACUUGCAAGCAACUUACAGUACUUUGGUGCCGAACUAUCUGUAUUUCUAAUAUAGUGACGGAAGACUAUUGGGUACAGUCAAGUACUUAUGAAAUCAGUGUG